GACGACCUCUGGCGGCGCGCCUAACACAUGCAAGUCGAACGAGCGAGAGAGAGCUUGCUUUCUCGAGCGAGUGGCGAACGGGUGAGUAACGCGUGAGGAACCUGCCUCAAAGAGGGGGACAACAGUUGGAAACGACUGCUAAUACCGCAUAAGCCCACGGUGCCGCAUGGCACAGAGGGAAAAGGAGCAAUCCGCUUUGAGAUGGCCUCGCGUCCGAUUAGCUAGUUGGUGAGGUAACGGCCCACCAAGGCGACGAUCGGUAGCCGGACUGAGAGGUUGAACGGCCACAUUGGGACUGAGACACGGCCCAGACUCCUACGGGAGGCAGCAGUGGGGAAUAUUGCACAAUGGGGGAAACCCUGAUGCAGCGACGCCGCGUGGAGGAAGAAGGUCUUCGGAUUGUAAACUCCUGUUGUUGGGGAAGAUAAUGACGGUACCCAACAAGGAAGUGACGGCUAACUACGUGCCAGCAGCCGCGGUAAAACGUAGGUCACGAGCGUUGUCCGGAAUUACUGGGUGUAAAGGGAGCGCAGGCGGGAAGACAAGUUGGAAGUGAAAUCUAUGGGCUCAACCCAUAAACUGCUUUCAAAACUGUUUUUCUUGAGUAGUGCAGAGGUAGGCGGAAUUCCCGGUGUAGCGGUGGAAUGCGUAGAUAUCGGGAGGAACACCAGUGGCGAAGGCGGCCUACUGGGCACCAACUGACGCUGAGGCUCGAAAGUGUGGGUAGCAAACAGGAUUAGAUACCCUGGUAGUCCACACCGUAAACGAUGAUUACUAGGUGUUGGAGGAUUGACCCCUUCAGUGCCGCAGUUAACACAAUAAGUAAUCCACCUGGGGAGUACGACCGCAAGGUUGAAACUCAAAGGAAUUGACGGGGGCCCGCACAAGCAGUGGAGUAUGUGGUUUAAUUCGACGCAACGCGAAGAACCUUACCAAGUCUUGACAUCCCUUGACAGGCAUAGAAAUAUGUUUUCUCUUCGGAGCAAGGAGACAGGUGGUGCAUGGUUGUCGUCAGCUCGUGUCGUGAGAUGUUGGGUUAAGUCCCGCAACGAGCGCAACCCUUAUGGUCAGUUACUACGUAAGAGGACUCUGGCCAGACUGCCGUUGACAAAACGGAGGAAGGUGGGGAUGACGUCAAAUCAUCAUGCCCUUUAUGACUUGGGCUACACACGUACUACAAUGGCGUUAAACAAAGAGAAGCAAGACCGCGAGGUGGAGCAAAACUCAGAAACAACGUCCCAGUUCGGACUGCAGGCUGCAACUCGCCUGCACGAAGUCGGAAUUGCUAGUAAUCGUGGAUCAGCAUGCCACGGUGAAUACGUUCCCGGGCCUUGCACA
rnacentral:rRNA from 1 species